rnacentral:rRNA from 1 species
CAGCAGCCGCGGUAACACGAAGGUCCCAAGCGUUGUUCGGAAUCACUGGGCGUAAAGGGAGCGUAGGCGGCGUGGUAAGUCAGAUGUGAAAUCCCGGGGCUCAACCCCGGAACUGCAUCCGAUACUGCCAUGCUUGAGGGUUGGAGAGGUAGCUGGAAUUCUCGGUGUAGCAGUGAAAUGCGUGGAUAUCGAGAGGAACACUCGUGGCGAAGGCGAGCUACUGGACAACAUCUGACGCUGAGGCUCGAAGGCUAGGGUAGCGAAAGGGAUUAGAUACCCCUGUAGUCCCUGUCUCUUAUAC